GCCUUCUGCAGAAAGCAAGGGUGAUGGGACUUGAGCAUCUAGCCAUUUGUAUUUUUCCCUUUUAAACAGAAUGCCCUCACCUGUCCGUCCUCUGACAGAGAGGCAGCUCUACUGGGGGCAUCCGUAGGGCUGUCAUGGGAGACAAAGUCAGAGGAAGACAUCAGAACUGUGGCUUUGCCUGUAAACCUGAGACCCUACUUCAACUUUUUCUUCUAGUCAGCCUGGGAAGCAUCACCAGACUCAUAUACGUGACCCUGUCAUCUAAAACUAAGACUGCCCAUAGAGGAACGCUACCAUGGAAUACAACAGUUAGAUUGCUUGGAAACACAAAGGCAUUUGUUGACAUCCAAGCUGCAAGAUAUGUUGACCUGAGUCAGUGAGACCAACUGCAUUCAGCCCGCUCGCCAGCCUCAUGCUUG
ensembl:lncRNA